rnacentral:misc_RNA from 1 species
GAAAUGCGAUAAGUAAUGUGAAUUGCAGAAUUCAGUGAAUCAUCGAAUCUUUGAACGCACAUUGCGCCCGCCAGUAUUCUGGCGGGCAUGCCUGUUCGAGCGUCAUUACAACCCUCAGGCCCCCGGGCCUGGCGUUGGGGAUCGGCGGAAGCCCCCUGCGGGCACAACGCCGUCCCCCAAAUACAGUGGCGUUCCCGCCGCAGCUUCCAUUGCGUAGUAGCUAACACCUCGCAACUGGAGAGCGGCGCGGCCACGCCGUAAAACACCCAACUUCUGAAUGUUGACCUCGAAUCAGGUAGGAAUACCCGCUGAACUUAAGC